UACAGAGGGGGCAAGCGUUAUUCGGAAUUACUGGGCGUAAAGGGCUCGUAGGCGGCCAACUAAGUCAGACGUGAAAUCCCCAGGCUCAACCUGGGAACUGCGUCUGAUACUGGAUGGCUUGAAUCCGGGGAGAGGGAUGCAGAAUUCCAGGUGUAGCGGUGAAAUGCGUAGAUAUCUGGAGGAACACCGGUGGCGAAGGCGGCAUCCUGGACCGGCAUUGACGCUGAGGCGCGACAGCGUGGGGGAGCAAACAGG
rnacentral:rRNA from 1 species